AAGCAUGUGUGCCAGGAAAGGGACACGGCUUAGCUGGGUGCCUCUGCCUCAAGGUCUCCUUGAAGCUUGGGCUGCGUCUCUAUUGCAGCUCGACUUGGGGAGGGUUUGCUCCCAAGUUCACUCACAUGCGUGUUGACAGGGUUUGUUUGGACUGGAAGUCUGAGUUCCUGCCUGUCUGUUGACCGAUCACUCCCUCAUUCUCUCCUAUGGAGCCUCUACAAAGGGUGACUGAAAACAUUUGCACUUGCUCCCCCAGUUCCAGAGAUAUAAGACACAGAGUGAGAGAGAGAGAUUGGAACAGAAGGAGGGAAAGAGGGAGGGGGCUGGAGAUAAUGAGUAAGAAGGAAGGGCCAGGCUUUUUGUUCUUAACCCUUGGUUGCGUGCCUUCCCAUCACCUUGGCUGCAUUCUGUUCAGAAGCCAGUUCCUGACCACUGUGUCGUUCCACAAGGAUGUGCAGAGCAGAAGACAGUGAGGAUUGGGAGCCAUGGUGGAGGCUGCCCACCACAUAGGCCGACACGAGGCACUUGGGUCUGAUUCUAAGUCAAACAGGAGACCGUGCAAGGUUUCAUGCCAGUGAAUGGAAAUAUCUGAAUUGCCCCUAAUUUCCACCUCUUAAAGGUGCAGACCUGGAAAUGAGGCCCAGAGGGGCAGGGACUUUCUCAAGGUCACAGAGCCAGAACCCAGGCCUGUUUUGAGAGGUACUCCACAUGACAUCCCACCCCUACUUGUCAUUCUUUCAUCUCUAAGUGUGUGCAUCAGACACAUGGAAACCGGACCACAGGUGGUGUUGUUAUUAUCUCUUCUACACCUGAGGACGUCCCGAGGGAGAUAUUUCUGGCAUCGUCCCCAUCGUGCAGGUUGGACGAUUAAGGAGGCCCUGGGAAGCACAAUGGCGUUUCCAGGACACAGAGCUUGUAGGAAAAAACAUGGCGGAACUCAGCUGCUUGUCCUCCAGCUGGAACCCUGGUUUCAUUGUCAAGGUCCUGUGUGGAGCUCUGUCAUGGGUAAUUGUGUGCAGUUAUGGAGAUGACAUGGACAAGGAGGGUGAGCAGCCAAGAGCCUAGAGGGGUUUUGGGUGAGUGUGAUUGAAGGGAGGGGCCCAGGUAAGGGAGCCUUGAGGAAGUGACCUCACUUCCUUGGAGACAGACCCUAACAGAACUUAGCACACUGGUCUCCAGGCGCCCACAUUCUACACAUAGCCUCCUAUUGAGCUCACUUGAGUGGAGACAUUCAAGAGAACAGCAUGUUCUCCUGUUGUCUCCCGACUUGUCGAGGCUCUGGCUUCAGGAAAGCCAAGAAAAAGAGCCUUUUCAGUCACUAUAGACACUGGCUUGUCCCUCACCUGCACCGCCUCUGGCCAUUUGUCAGGAGGAGCCCUCAGAGCUGCAUGCAGGAGGUGGUCGAAGAGCUGGCAAAUGGCUUCGGGUACUCCAUUUCCCUGGACAGGGGGCAACUGCACAGCGCCACCAUCAAUAACCAGGGCUGCUCUGAGCGUUUAGAUGAGGCCAGUUUCUGUCUAACCUAGGCCUUCAGGAUGCGUGCCCUCCAGGCAGGCAGGAUGGAGCACCUGUCAGACUCCCUGGUACCAGCCUUCCCAGGUAGAGUCAUCUGCAGUGGUACCACAUCCAUGAGCCACUACUUGGUCUUCAGCGCAUCCCACCGGGUCCUGGACCAGCUGUUUCCCAGGUGACUGCCCGCCUCCUCCUCAGCACAGUGGUGACUCUGCCCACUGUCAGCUGGGUGUCUUGGGAAUGUCAUCACAUCACUCUGAGCUUCAGUUGGCUCCUGUGGACAGUGGGGUGGGGGAGGAGGAACUUGCUAGGGUUCUCCCAGGGAUGAAUGGGAUCAGCCAUCCAGGUGCUUCCCUGCUGCCUGACUCUGAGAGGGCUGUGGGCCACGCUGGGGUUGUUGUUGGUGAUUAUUUCUCUGUGUCCCAUGAAAAGUAGUCUUCCUGUGCCAUCACUGGCUUGUGGCCUUUCUGAGUUUGGAAAAGCACAUGCAGAGUACCCUGUCAAGGAGUUUGAGAUUCCAUCCUGCUGGCCUUGCUGCUUGUCCUUGGUGUAGCCAUUUACAGAUCUCUGGGGAAAUGGAGUGGUGCCAGGACAACUCAUAUAUCAAGGAUGGUUCUGGAUGGAGUUCAUUCAACAAGGUCCCGUCCACCAUCCAUCCCGUGUGAUGCCCUCAUACCCUAUGGGACUUCCAGAAGCACCUUCUCCCUGUGUGAGUGGGAUGAUUGUCCACAGGACCAAUGAAAAAAUGCUAUCUAUCUGAUGCUGGGAAGCUGGCUGGACCAAGGGCAGGAUUUCAGGGAGCCCUGCAAUUCCCCUGUUGGAUGGUGAGGUUGGCCACUCAUCACAUCAGCUUUGGUGGCUCAGACCCGGAGGGCCAUGCCUGCCUUCUGCUGGGCCACCUGAAGCCUCUCAAGGCCAUUGAGCAGGAGCAGAAAUGUGAGGGGACUGCAGUCUGGGAAGACUGUGCUGGGGUUCAUGGGCUGGAAUUUCCUGAAAGGCAGUGGAGUCUUUCCUGUCUUUGGAAAGGCACGGGAACUGUCAGGUGUGUGGGUGACACUUUCUCCUUAUCCUGCUCCAGAGCCAGCUCCAAAGCUCCUGCCACUUCCAGAGCCAGAGCCAGAGCCAGCGCCAGCCCCUGGGCUAGAGCCAGCUCCAGCUCCAACUCCAGCUCCUCCAACUGUGGCAGAGCUGGAGCCAGCAUCACCUGCAUCAGACCCUCCAGGGCUGGAGCAAUGGCCACUAUUAACUUCAACCCCAGUGCCAGCUCCUGAACUAGAUCCCACUGGACCCUGGUCUGUGACCACCGAGAACCAGCUGAGGGAGGAGAAGCCGAACCUCUUAGAUUUCCCUCCCCAGCUGGUGUCAGAGCAGCUGACAAGGAUGUAGGCGGUGGGCAGCGGGGCUUGCAGGGCAGGGGGGUCCUGCCUUCCUGUGCCACGAGCUGCCCCAGACCUGCCAUUGCCUGAUCUGGAUUCCAGUGAUCUGGGUCCACAUCCCUGCUCCCCCGUUACCAACACUGUGACCUGGGCACUUUCUUAACCCCCAGCGCUCGCUGUCCCCAUGUGCACAGCAGAGCCGGACACUAAGGGCACCUGCUGCACAGGGUGGAUGUGCCAAUGAAUGAGGUGGAACAGAGAAGAAGUUGGGCAGAGUCUGGCCCUUUGGUGGGGGAGGGAGCUCACUGAAGUGCUGCCAGGUCCUCGUGUCCAACACUCGAGUGCCCAGGUGGCCUUCACAUCCUCAACACUUAUCAGGCACGUGAUGUGUACUGACUCCAGCGGAGACAAUCACACAAAGCCGGUGCUUCUCCCUGCCUUGGGGGAAUGUGCAUGGGAAUGGGGAGUGGGACCUGAGGGGGACUGGGAUGGGUGGAAGAUGGCCUUUGUGGUGAGCCGGCAUGGGCUGCAUUCUGGAGCUUGGAGGAAAUGAGACGGGGCUGGGGGAAAAUGUCCUCCCUUCUGCACAGGACUGUGUCCUGGGUCAUCUUGUGCUGGCACCUUCAGUGGACACAGACAAAACCCAGGGAGUCCGACACACCUCAGAGAUCACACCCUCUGCUUCCUGAGCUCCCACGCUGUCCUCACCCCACCUGGGACUGUGGGGGACCAAGGAUGCCGAGCUGGGGUGAGGCAGUACUGGCAACACUCUGAAUCUUCCUCAGGAGCUGUUCAAGAAAUUGGUGCCCGCCCACUGCCUGGGCUCCAUCUGGUUCCAGCAAGACAACAGGGACCACAAAUACCUGGCACCUACCAUCCGUGACACUGUGGCACACACGAACACCUUGGUCAACAGUGGAAUUCUCAGGUGCCAA